GGGCUCCUCCCCUCUCCUCCUAGCUGUGAGCCGCUCUGAGCGAUUGCGAAGGACGAAGAUGAGCCUCAAGCUGUCACUUGCUGCCUGGAGUUCGUUCGGAAAGUUGGAAAAGCCUAGUUCUAAUUAGGAAAUCUAUCCAGCUGUGUAUUUACUUUUGUUUUUAGGGUCUGAAGCUCAGGAAGGCUUAAGGAAACAAGAUCACACAGCUGACUGGAUUUCUCUGUAUAGCCCUGGCUAUCCUGGAACUCACUAUAUAGACCAGAGAUCUGCUUGCUACUGCUUCCCAAGUGCUUGGGUUAAAGAUGAAGAUGUAGAACUCUCAGCUCCUCCUGCACCAUGCCUGCCUGGAUGCUGCCAUGUUCUCUUCUUGAUGAUAAUGGAGUGAACCUCUGAAUAGGCACUAGGUGGUUGGAAAAGAUACCAACUUUUGUAGAAGGACCUUCGAGAGCUGUUCCAGUUAACAGAGAUGAAAGGAUGGAUCUAUUCAGCGUUGUGGAGGUCCUAACAGAUCGGUAGAUGGACUUCUGACAGCAACAACAAUUAGGCCUUCUCCACGACCUAAAUGAAUGUUGGACAUUGAAUGACACCACAACAUUGCAGAUAACAAAGCUCAGGCUAAGGGAGUGUUUUGGGGAAACAACCUCUUUACUUCAGUAAAGAAUGGAAGAAGAGGGGGGAUUCUGUAGACUAAAACAACCUGAACACUUAGCACCAUCAGCUCACUGACAGCUUUAGCUAUCAGGAUUCUAUCCAAAUAAGCCAUGAGAUAACGGGGGAUUAGAACAUGAUCAGACAUAUCUUCAUAUCAGGAAUCGCUUAAUUUUAGCUGUUAUAAAUGGCCUGGAGAGAUCAUCCAGUGGGGAAGAGCACUUGCUGCUCUUGAAGAGGAUCAGGGUUCAGCACAUACACAGUGGAUUACAGCUGGCUGUACCUCCAAUUUCAGGAAAUCAAACAUCAUGCUCACUUCAUGUAGUGCACAUACAUACCACAUAGACAAAACAUUCAUACCCAUAAAAUUAAAAUACAGAACUAAAAAUAAAAUGCUACUGAACUUUUCACGUACUCCAGUGAAGAACAAUGCCCUUCUUAAGAGAGCGGUAGCAUCCGAGUUACAGUCUGGACAGUUCUCCCUUUUACAAGGUGGAAUAAGUCAGACAGAGUCAUUCAGAAAUCCACACACAAAUAUCCUAAGCUUGAAUAAUAACAACAACAAAAAGUUCUGUUGAAGAUAAAUAAUGAGAGGCCUGCCUUCAACUGAAAGCCGCAGUGAUAAAAAUCACAGUAAUGCAAUCAACAUGGUAUCGGCAUCAGGACAGACAAAUCAGUGGAGCCGAACACUGAAUCCAAAAAUAGAUUUCAGCAUAUAUCAUAAUUUAAUAUGUGACAAAGGCAGUAUUUCAAUUCUGUGGGAAAGAAUGGUUUAUUCAAUAACCAGUGCCGGUGUAACUGGCUAUUCAUCUAGAACAAAAUGAACUUGGGUCUCAAUUUCACAAGUCUAAAAACAGAUUCUAAAUGGAUUAAAAACUUAAGUGUAAGCCAUAAGCCUUAGAGAAACAUUCAGGUAGCUACACGCAGACGUGGGUGACAGAGAACACGUUCCAAAAACUAAAACCAGGAACUCGGGAAAUGGGAAAUGGGUGGUAACAAAACUCAAAACCUCUAAAUGGCCAGAGAUGCCAAGACCGUCAUGUCAAAACUUGUUUAGUAAAGCACGUGAAACACAGAUAACACAUGAGGGGUAAAUAUUUCUCACAAGCAGCAAAUACAUAGAAGUCGAUAAAGGAAAGAUAAAACAUUCCAAGUAACUAAAAAACAUGUUAAAAGUUUUUAAGCUCACCAGCAUUUUGGGUUUUGCAGUUAGGAUAAUAAUAUCUAGCCAGAUGUGGCAGCAUAUGCCUAUAAUCCCACACUCAGAAGGUAGAGGCAGGAGAAACAAGGAUAGCCUUAACCACAUAGUGAAUUUGAGGUCAUCCUGGACUUCCUGAGACCCUGCCUAAAAACACCAAAUAAAAUUACUCCACUAGUUACGAGGCAUUAUGUUACACCCAUGAGAUUCAAAACAUUCAAAAGACUAAUACUGUUGCAGUGUUUGUGAAACUGAACUGUUGCUGUAGUCCUAAAAAAUCUGUUAAAAAAUCUGCACAACCUUUGACCUAGUGAUUCAACCCCGAGGCAGGUGGAAAUAAUUAACAACAAGCCAAUAUGGAAGGCUUUAUGCAAAAUUGUAGUAGCAAAAAAUUAGAAGCAAAGUAAACGCAUAACCGUGAAGGAACAGUUUAAUAAUUUUUUUUGCUACAUUUGCAAACGUGCUGAAUGGUGUCUCUGCUUCAUAAAAUAGUAGGCUUUGACUUCCAAGGUAGAAGGGAACUUUUAGUGAAUUAGGAUUCUCACAAGGGUGGCGUGAGAAGGGCAAGCCACUGGAGUCUUACGGCUCCUAGAGGCAGACUGAUGUACAUGGUAAGUUGUGUGUGUGUGUGUGUGUGUGUGUGUGUGUGUGUGUGUGUGUGUGUAUGUGUGUGGUGUAUGUGUGUGUUUAUGUUUGUAAACAGACUUCCAUCUGUUUAGGAUUGCAUGAGCUUAAGGACAUGGUAAGGCACAGACAUGGGGUUAACAGUGGGGCUCUGCCACUCUGGAGUACAAUUUGGGUAGAUGCUGAAAGGAGGAAGGUGAAAGAAGACACAGGUCUAAAGUUUUCUAAGAACUUCAUUCAGAUUAAAAAAGAAAAAAACAUCUAGUGUGAGUCAGGGAGUUGAGGCUGGUUCAUGCCUUUAAUCCCAGCAUUCAGGAGGCAUUGGAAGGUUGAUCUUGAGGUCACCCUGGUCUACAGAAGGAGUUCCAGGACAGUCAGGGCUAUUCGGUGAAACCUGUCUCACAAAAACAAAACAACAAAACCUACUGUGAUAUGCUAUUAAUAUGUCUGCAUCUUAAUGUGUUUAUUUGCCUUUCUUGUUUCUGGGACCAAAGACCGGACAAGAAGCAACUGAGGAGGGAAGGACGUUUUGACUUGCACAGUUGGGGGAGGAGGGCACUCUGGCAGGGAAGCCAUGGGAGAAGCAGAUUUCAGUUGUGAUGACAGGAUCUCUUGAACCUGCUAGCUCACAUCUACUCGUAACACAAAGCAGAGAGGAGACAGGACGUAAGUAGAUGCUAAACUUCAACUCCACCAGACAGCUCCCAGAGGGCUGUUUCCUCCAGAUAGGUCCUACUUCUCAAAUGGUCCACAACUCCCACAAAUAGUACUACUAGUUGGGGACCAAAUAUUCAAACACCUGUUCCUAUGGGAGAGACUUUGCAUCCAGACCACAAUCAUAUAUGUUUAAGCAUUGUAUGUGUGUGCAUGUAUGCAUAUAUACGUAUAUUGCAUAGACAUAGAAUAAUAUACACUACAUUGGCAGAACAAGAUGGAAUUAAUUAUACCCAAGUAUUUGAGAAUGUGAUUGAUAAACUAUUAACAUUUUAAAAAUGGUAACAUGUGAUAAGACUGUGUUUUGACACAGUGGACAUAUGAGAGAAGGCCUACAGAGCUGAGUUAUAUAAAAGCUUGUGAUUCUACUGAGCCAUGCAAAUGAUAGGAAAGGACAAAUGCCAUGUUGUUAAUGUGGUACCCCUAAGGGAGUGGGGAUGGAUGCAACAAUGGACUGUUUCUUUUACACAUAACUGUGCUGUUUUACUUGUUCAAUCGGUCUGAAUGUUUUGUAAUUUGAAAUAAUAAAAUAAUUAAAAAUAUAGUCUUUCACCUAAGGA